rnacentral:ncRNA from 1 species
CGUCUUCAGGGCGGGGUGCAAUUCCCCACCGGCGGUAGGUGCGCAAGCACGAGCCCGCGAGCGCCCCGGCCCACUGCCGGGGGUCAGCAGAUCCGGUCCAAUGCCGGAGCCGACGGUCAUAGUCCGGAUGAAAGAAGACG